rnacentral:rRNA from 1 species
AGCGAACGCUGGCGGCAGGCCUAACACAUGCAAGUCGAACGAACUCUCCGGAGUUAGUGGCGGACGGGUGAGGAACACGUGGGAACGUGCCUUUUUGCUCGGAAUAACUCAGGGAAACUUGUGCUAAUACCGAAUGUGCUCUGCUGGGGAAAGAUUUAUCGCCCUUAGAGCGGCCGGCGUGGGAUGAGCUAGUUGGUGGGGUAACGGCUCACCAAGGCGAUGAUCAGUAGCUGGUCUGAGAGGAGGACCAGCCACACUGGAACGGAGGAGAGGUCCAGACGCCGACGGGAGGCAGCAGUGGGGAAUAUUGGACAAGGGGCGAAAGCCUGAUCCAGCAAUACCGCGUGGGUGAAGAAGGCCUUCGGGUUGGAAAGCCGUUUUGGUGGGAAAGAAAAGCAGCAGGUGAAUACCCCGCUGUUCUGACGGUAACCAAAGAAUAAGCACCGGCUAACUUCGUG